UGUAUUGCAUAAAUGAACGGU
rnacentral:piRNA from 1 species